rnacentral:misc_RNA from 1 species
UGGUGCUAGCACAAGCUCCUCUUGGAGCUUAUUAAAGGCAUAUGGAGUAAGAACAGAGGCUGCUUGUGAUUCGAUCGGUGAACCUGUUUUGAGGUAAACUUUUUGUGUUUUUCGUUGAGUCUCUGCCCUGACUCCAGUACAAUUACUUAAAUCAAUAAUUUCAGCCACUCGCUUAACAAAACAAUCUAAUUGUGAUUGUGCACUCAAAAACCGUUGAAUGAAAGCAUUAAUAGAUUCAGACUGACACGUGUUCAUCAUUCCUGCAAAAAAGUAAUGCCUCAAAUACGACAAAGCCCAGUAUGUCCGCAGUGCAUACAAACUAGCAAUGUGCUUAUUAGCAUGAAGCCCAUAUUUGAUGACCAUUUCUUUCCAUCCUUCCUCAAAAUCUUCCACAAACUCAAGAUUAUAGAGUCGGAGAAACUCAGCUUUCCAGUCAUCAUAACAUGACCCAAGCAGCAUGGAAAACCAAUCUGAGAAUUUAGCAAUGAUGUGCCAAAUACAAAAGGCCUGUUUAGUUUCUGGCAUUUCAAUUGCAA